rnacentral:piRNA from 1 species
UGCUAUUUUUCUAUCUCUAAAAGUGAUGC